UACAUCUUUUCUUCUUCGUUUUCAUCACUUCCUUCUUCUUCUUUUUCUUUCGAGAAAAAACCAUUUUCAGAAGGAGAAGGAGAUGAUAUUGUUGGGGAGCGACAGAAAGACAAUAAAUCUAUUGCCUCUGGUUUUUCUUCUUCUUUUUCU
rnacentral:ribozyme from 13 species